ACUUCCACGCUGUCCUCCGAGGCGCUCGGCGAGUGCAGGCCAGACAUGUCGUCCUCGUCGCCUCCGCUGCAGAAGCCUGCAUCCCUGUCGGAUCCAGCCAUGACACCGGCUGAAACGGAAACAAAAACAAUCGUGCGUGAAAAACAAAAACACCUGUCGUUUCCUGACUAUUAAGCGGCGAGGAAGCCAGACGUAUCACGAGUAGUAGGAACAGUGUACGCGACGGUGCUAUUUUUGAUGUGAUUCCGUGGUCGAGAUGAUUUCGUUUCGCUUCGUCUCGCCUCGUAUCGCCGAGGAGACAGGAUGUUUUCAGGUUCGGUGCGUCAUCCGACUGGUACCAUCUGGCGCACAGGUAUCGACAGAUGAGUUCUUAUUGGAGUGGCCAGCACGCGACGCACCCGUCGCGUUCCAGUUCCUCGAUCGCGAUCGAAGAGAGAGGAGAGGAACGUUUAUCCGUUGACCUGUAGUCAGUCGUCGCGUCGCAUCGCGCAGCGUGCGUUGUCUUGGAAGUAUUCGGAUAACCAAUGAGUUGGAACACAGGAGUUACAUCAGCAUCGAUGGGGAAAAAUGAAGACACGAGGUGGAUGACGACAGGAGCACGUGCUGACGUUGAGAACCGUUAUCGAACGAAUAACGCAACGGAUGUGGUUUAUCUUUUAUUUACUAUUCGAAAAUCUUAUAAAGACAAGAAUUUUGCUCGUAUCUGCUCAUAGACGACGUAGUCGGUCCACGGAAACUGUCAACACCGUUCACUUCCCUCGUCGAGCGUCCUUACGCUCCAGAAAUAGUCGAAUGUAGCAUUUGUGGAUUCAACAGUCUCGAAAUAAGAAGGAGAAGGAACCGCGGCCAACUUUCGCGGUGAUUAUAAAUAAACGACGUCGACCGACGCGGGAACGAGAAAAAGGGGAGAAGGACCAACGAGUCGCAUUCGGAGACGCGUAGACGCAUACAGCGGAUGCCAAUCUCUCUCCCUCUGCCUCUUUCUAUCUCUUGGAAUCAAAAGAAACAUCGGCGCCAAGAGGCACGGCGUAUCGAUCGCUGCGAUACUCCUGGGAAGUCUAGUAACCGGAAGUAUGCGAUACGAAGGCGUAACUUCUGACAAGUUAUCGCUUUUGUGUAAAGAAAUAAACAAUAAAUAGUCCGCUAUCUUUUCUAAGGCGUAGCUGCAUCUUUCAAAUAUCUUCUAGAUUAAAGUAGUUCAGAAACUAAUAGUAAAUGUAUGAUCGACUACUAAUCCUACUGAUUUUUCUAAAUUAUUUAAAUCUUUCGAGCACUUAGUAUGCAUAGUAGUGCAAGUAGAAAAAGACCCGCGGAGGCGUAUGGGGUCAGACGUUACACUCAGGCGCUAUAGGCAAAAUUACUCACCGUUGUUCACAUUCUACUCCGUUGCAACACCGUAUUCCUCUUAAUCCGGGACUGUUCGUUCUUUCUUUACUCGAGUGAUCUUAUCUUUCUGGCGAUCUCGUUUUACAAAUGAUAGAUCGCGGAUCGUAAAUUUAAUGAUUGGUACUCUAAAACGAUUAUCGUGCAUUCAAGUGUUUCGUGAGAAUUCUAUUUGUGUCCCCUGAUUUCUAUUUAUCUAUUAACGAUAGUAGAUAAAACAAUACGAUCAAAAUGGUACAAUAUUUUGUACAAUACAAAAAAGAACAAUCGUAGCUAAAAAGUAACAGUUGGGCAAUUUUAGUACGCAAAUUAGGUAUCUUCUUCUUCGAUACAUUAUCAUUCCGUAACCAAUCGUUCGUAUUAUGCAUGAUUAUGCCACAUGUGUGUCACGCGUGACUUGCAACUUUUUUUUUUUCAUUCUCACCCAUCUUUCCUUGCAGGUACGAAUAAAGAUCAACCAGGAAAACGCGAGUAAUCAAAAUUGCGGGAGUUUGAAACCCUUUGGAAUGCAGUCGAUCUCCGAUUCUCGGCUCUAUUCCCUUGUUCCGCUGCACGCGCGCUCGCGGAAGAGGAAAACGAGCAGCGGAGCGUCGUAUCGCUUUGACCCCGAGGAGGAAGAGUCGGCCCCGGUGAAAAGCGCGGCGGAGGCGAAAGACGAGAACGGAUACGAGGAGGAGGAGGAGACGCCGCUGGCCAGAUGGUCCACGCACGAGUUUAAAUCGAUAUCAUUGGUUGCGACAGCGUCGCGACUUCGCUGCUUUUCUCGACCCGUCGAUUAGAUGAACGCCUUCGCUCCGUUAGACUGGCGAUUCGCACCAACCAGAAAUGGACAAAUUUUAUUUCGUUUAUCAUUACUAAUUCUUAUUCAUUUCGCGUGAAAAGUAGUUUCAUUCUAUAAGUCGCAUCACUGUCCACGUUCCCCUCGUUUUUAGUCGUGUAGAAAUACUUAAAAACGGACGUUUACUAUUUUUUUUUCAGACUUAGUGCAAUCGGCAAUCUUAGUUGCACCGUGAUGCGACUUGACGAGAUGAUCAUCGGACGAGCGUUCUAUCUCUUGGAAAUAAGAAUGCUCCCGACACGAGUCGUACAAAUAUUUGUCCCGCAAACGUAAACGCGAACACGACAGACGCACGUUCCAAGAAUAUCGAUAGCGUAGCUGUGACCGCGAGUGGGAUAUCGGCUAGUCGCGGAUACGCGAACCGAUUCGCCUUGCGCGAAACCGCUUCUGAAUGAACUGAGAGUGCGUGCGUACUGAUAAUCAUGGUGGCGCAGCAAAAGAUG